rnacentral:lncRNA from 1 species
GAGCCUCUCUCUCUCUCUCUCCCCUCCCUUGUCUCCCUCUUGCCGCUGCUCUUCUCCAGUGCAACACCGCCGUCUCCGGCCACCCCAGACGACGAGACCACCGCCAAAUGAUCUCCUCCUUCUUCUCUUCAAAACCCAGUAAAAAAAUUCCAUAAACAACCCCGGAUCCUUGGAGAUCGAAAUUGAUGAACCCCAUUGUGUUCAUCAAAAUUCGGCGAGCUCCCGCGGCUACGAUGACUGUGAGGGGUAAGGUUCUUCUCCUCCUUCCUUCUUCUUCGACUCCAUGUCUUAAAGUCUUUGAAAUCGAAACCCUAACCCCCAAUUUCUAUUCUCCGGCAAAUUGUUGAGUUCCAGCAAAUCCCUCACCCAUCGAGUUCUUAUGUGCGCUGUUGUGCCCCGCCGCCUUCACGGCGUAUGGUUUUCCCUUCUCUGACGUCGAGUCAAUCUCCUGGUGUGCUUAUCCGAGUGUUGGUGUUGUGAGGGAGCAGCUGCUGCUCAUAUGGAGGGAUGUCGUGGCUAGGGUUCUAGCUGGAGACUUCCCAGCUCUUCGAUCCAUCUCCUAAAGGUAACCCUUCGUUUCUGAGGUUUCUGUGUUAGCUAUAAACUUCUGGGUUAUUGUUGUUGAGUGUUGUGGAACUUAAAUGUCAAUGUUCUGAUUUUGCUAGUUUGGUUGUUGUUUGUCGAUAACUUGGAGAUUGGAAGAUAUAGGGAGGCUAUGGCGAAAUUUUGGCAAGUCGCCGGAAUCAGGUGGAGUUUUCCGGCAGGUUUCCGAAAUCCGGCGAGUGAUUCCAGCGAGGGCAGAAUCCUACAGAGAUCGUAGAGCUUAUAGUCAGGCGUGGGAUUGACUCAAGGACAUGGAUAUUUGGAGGCGGCGCUCGAGGAGUGUCCCGAGCGAUGGAAAGCUUAAGCUUAAUACUGUGAGUGGACACUUUAGUUUUUAAUAAAUAUGCAUACAAGAUUUUAUAAGUUAACAUUUUAUUUUCUGAGCUUAUAUUAUAAUUUUGGUUUAUGAAAUGAUCUUGGAAUUUAUUUGAGUUUGAUGCAUUGAUUAAGUAAUGGUCAUGAUUUAUGGAUUUGAGCUCGGGUUAUUAAUUUGGUAUUUAAGUUUUGAUAUACCUUAUGACUUCCGGAUCUAUUUAUUAUUAUUUAUUUGUUAACUUUGAGAUUUAUAAAAGAUUACCGAAAAUAGGAUUUUCGGUAGUUCUCCAUCAUAAUUUACUCAUUUAUUUGUGGCAUAAUGAUUUUGACAUUGAGAAUAUUUUAGCGAGUAUUUCGAGUGGAGAUAUUAUUUACGAUUUAUACUUAAUAAUGAAAUCUCGCUUGUAAUUAUUAAUUUGAGAAUAUUAUGAUGUGUGAGACAUGUCAUUGAGUUUUAUUGUAAUUUCUUAUGAUAAUUUCCAAGUACGAUUGGGUACCGUACCAUUCGCAUGAUCUUAGGGAAGUUUUAUGGAUUUAAGUAAUUUAGUAUGAUUUUAGUCACCAUACUAUAGGGUCGCUCUUAUUCAUUAUUAGCUAGCCUUUAUUAGCGGUCCUCACCAUAGCUGAGUCGAGUGCUUAGCGUGGGACGCUAUUAUAGCUUGGGAGGUACCGAUGGGUUAUUAGUAUUCAUUGCUAGCUAGCCUUUAUUAGCUGUCCUCACCAUAGGUGAGUCGAGCGUUUAGCGUGGGACACUACUAUAACUUGGGAGGCACCGACCCGAGCUUUGGAGGCUCCUCGUACAUGGUGAUAUCUCUUCCUCUUGUUUUAUUUUCUUAUUUAUGUAAUUGAUUAACCAGCGGGGCUGGUUUGUCUCUGCUUACAAGAUUUCAGUAUUUGAUUAACCAGCAAGGCUGGUUUGUCUAUUCUUGUGGUUUUGGAUUUAAAGUUUUAUGGACGAUCAAAGUUGCGUGCAAUUAAGUUUUUUUUUUUUAGUUUAAACGUGGGAAAAUAUUUAAAUUACGUUUUGUUAAAUUAUUUAAUUUAUUUUUGUUCACUCAUUCUAACGUUUUAAAUUACUUUCACUACCAGGACAAGCAUUUUAGCUGACGAAAAAGUUUCGUUUAGUAUAAUUCGUCGGCUAUGGUUUCGUCGGGAAAACGUCGUCGGCGAUGACUUUAGCCGACGAAACUAGAAGACGUCGUCGGCUAUCGUCCUAGAAUUUAGCCGACGAAAAAGACAUCGUCGGCUUUUGUCUCAAAAUUUAGCCGAUGAAUAGCUUAAAUGUUUCGUCGACCGUAGUCUGAGACAUUAGCCGACGAAACAUUUAAUAUAUUCGUCAGUUAUAGUAUGUAAUAAAAAAUUAAAAAAAUAACUAAAGUCGACGACAUAUAGUCUGUUUCGUCGGGUGUAGAAGGGUUUAGCCGACGAAACAUGCCAUAAUUCGUCCAGUGGGUUCGCAACUCGUUCUUUCACUCCUUGUACCUACAGAUACAACAAAAAUAUUAGAAAGAUUAUUAAUAUCAUAUACAAUUUUGUUUUUUUAUUAACUUCCCAACGUAUCUUCCCCCAUGCACAAUGUCCGCCCAGCUGUUCUUCAGGUGCUCGGGAACGUCAAAUCACACCUUCAUUUAACCGUUUAUUAGUUUAGUUUUGCGAGAAAUCAACAAUGUAAUACAUAAUAUUAUCGAGGCAUUUUGUAAACUCACCGACAUCGCGUUGUGGACCAUGUCCUUAACCUCCUGCGGGACCUCGCCCCAGUCUGACCACAACAUAGGGACUCUAUCCCUAAUGAGCGCUCCCGCGCGGCCGGAGUACGUCCUCAACUUCCCGCCCGAUACUAUGUGGUCAUCCCUGUCAGUAUCGAUGACGAUCCUCCCUGAGGUAUUGACGGUCUUCUCGAGAGCCUUCCCUGUAACGGGGCCUCUCUUCUUUGUCGGCUUCGCUCCAACGGUGGCUAUCACAUGAUAAACCAAAUUGAUUAUUAAAAUUGGAGACCUUUUAUUAUUAAUUAUAAGAAAACAAAUCAUUCAUCUUUCAUUACCUGAGGGUGAUGCGGCGGACGCGACGGAUUCCGUCUCUGUCGCCGAUGAUGAUAUCCUCGCGGAAAUAAGAGGCGUAUCAAAAGGCACGAACCGGUACGUUGCUGGUGGAGCCACUGGCGGGGGCAGUGGAUAAAUCAGCGUCACUGAGCCAUCGACUGCAGGUAAGGCCGGUAUCAUCCGUGGAAGGAUCAGAUGAGGCGGCGACAUCUGUACCUCAAAUGACCCACUAUCCCAAGAAGUAGGACCCGAAGUGGGCGUCCGGUGUAUCUCAGGUAUACAGGGUGCAGACGGAGUCUGAGGCCACAACUGCCUCGAGAAAUGAGGGACGUCCGGCUGCCUCGAUGAAGGGGGCACCUCCCGCUGUCUUGAGGAAUGGGAAACGCUCGGCUGCCUAUGCGCCGUCUCCAGAACGGUCGCAUGUUUAGCUGUCAUGGGGCCUCGAAAUGACGUUUGAGGGUUGCUAGAGGUUCCCUUAGAUGAUUCGGAUCUUUGGCCCUUCAUAACUCUACAUUACUUGUACAACUAUAUUUAGUAAAGAAGGUAAAAACCAAACAAAUUUCCAAAAAGUAAAAAAGAAAAAUUACUCUAUUUUUUCACUUUCCGAUUAAAGACAAAAUACAACUGGGUCCCCCUUAAAAAUCCAAGAAAGCUAAAACUUGUUGAACACAGGUUCAGUCCUCAUUAUCACACUCAUGCUCUCUCACUAAAACCAAAUCCUAGCCGUUGGUUUCUCUCAUCUCCCCCUAUCCAUGACCCAUAUGUUCUCCAAGUCGUGAUAAACUAUGUUCGAUUCAGUUCCCAGUUCCAUGUAAACAAGUAAUGAUGAUUUGCCUACAUCUGAUCAAAUCUAGAAUACUAUAUGUUUAAUUUUUUUUUUCUUUCGAUUUGUUUUAAACAAUUUGUUAAACAUGAUUUAUGUAUAUAUACGUUAGUUUGAUUACAUGCCCUGCAUUUUG